AUACUCCGGGUGAUAGGCGGCUAAUCCUUUGCGGCUUCCCAAGCUGCGAUCGGUCAGGAAUUUGACCAUCAAUGUUCGAGAUUCUUCGGGGAUAUC
rnacentral:tRNA from 1 species